UACGAAGGGAGCUAGCGUUGUUCGGAAUCACUGGGCGUAAAGCGCACGUAGGCGGAUGUGUCAGUCAGGGGUGAAAUCCCGGAGCUCAACUUCGGAACUGCCUUUGAUACAGCACAUCUGGAGUCCGGAAGAGGUGAGUGGAAUUCCUAGUGUAGAGGUGAAAUUCGUAGAUAUUAGGAAGAACACCAGUGGCGAAGGCGGCUCACUGGUCCGGUACUGACGCUGAGGUGCGAAAGCGUGGGGAGCAAACAGG
rnacentral:rRNA from 1 species